GCUUGCUUUUCCGCCGGCGACCGGCGCACGGGUGCGGAACGCGUAUGGAACCUGCCCCUGUCAGGGGAAUAGCCCAGGGAAACUUGGAUUAAUGCCCCAUGGUACCGCGAUAUCGCAUGAUAUUGCGGUUAAAGAUUUAUCGGACAGGGAUGGCCAUGCGUACCAUUAGUUAGUUGGUGGGGUAACGGCCCACCAAGGCAGCGAUGGUUAGGGGCCCUGAGAGGGGGAUCCCCCACACUGGUACUGAGACACGGACCAGACUCCUACGGGAGGCAGCAGUGAGGAAUAUUGGACAAUGGGCGGGAGCCUGAUCCAGCCAUGCCGCGUGCAGGAUGACGGCCCUAUGGGUUGUAAACUGCUUUUAUACGGGAAGAAAUGCGCCCACGUGUGGGCGUCUGACGGUACCGUAAGAAUAAGGACCGGCUAACUCCGUGCCAGCAGCCGCGGUAAUACGGAGGGUCCGAGCGUUAUCCGGAAUCAUUGGGUUUAAAGGGUCCGUAGGCGGGCCUGUAAGUCAGGGGUGAAAGUUUGUGGCUCAACCAUAAAAUUGCCUUUGAUACUGCAGGUCUUGAGUCAUGGUGGGGUCGCCGGAACAUGUGGUGUAGCGGUGAAAUGCAUAGAUAUCACAUAGAACACCGAUCGCGAAGGCAGGUGGCCAACCAUGUACUGACGCUGAUGGACGAAAGCGUGGGUAGCGAACGGGAUUAGAUACCCCGGUAGUCCACGCCGUAAACGAUGGAUACUAGCUGUGG
rnacentral:rRNA from 1 species